GCAAGCCGAAGGGCAGCCAACGGUUUUUACAUCUUAGGAUGUAAUCAAACUGAGGAAACUCCACACAUCUUACAGAACCGUGGUGCUAUAAAGCACAUGCCAAGAGGCAUGACACUGGAGCAGAAACGACACGUCUUCUGGUGAAUGAAUAUGAUGCGCAAGCUGAAGACACCAGAAGGAACGGUGAAACGGCCAUUCCGCGGGAUGCAAGGGCAAAUACUGUCAGUGAAUCCUGUAUGAGGCAGAGGUAGCUCGCAAAGAUGAAUGCUGCUGGAACAGAAUGUGGGUUAUUCUCGGCAUGC
rnacentral:RNase_P_RNA from 1 species